UACGAAGGGGGCUAGCGUUGCUCGGAAUUACUGGGCGUAAAGCGCACGUAGGCGGCUUUCUAAGUCGGGGGUGAAAUCCUGGAGCUCAACUCCAGAACUGCCUUCGAUACUGGAGAGCUCGAGUCCGGGAGAGGUGAGUGGAACUGCGAGUGUAGAGGUGAAAUUCGUAGAUAUUCGCAAGAACACCAGUGGCGAAGGCGGCUCACUGGCCCGGUACUGACGCUGAGGUGCGAAAGUGUGGGGAGCGAACAGG
rnacentral:rRNA from 1 species